rnacentral:rRNA from 1 species
UACGGAGGGUGCAAGCGUUGCUCGGAAUCACUGGGCGUAAAGCGUACGCAGGCGGCCGUUCAAGUCGGAUGUGAAAGCCCGGGGCUCAACCCCGGAAUUGCAUUCGAAACUGUACGGCUUGAGUACGGGAGAGGGAAGCAGAAUUCCUGGUGUAGAGGUGAAAUUCGUAGAUAUCAGGAGGAAUACCUGUGGCGAAAGCGGCUUCCUGGCCCGAUACUGACGCUCAUGUACGAAAGCGUGGGGAGCAAACAGG